UACAGAGGUCUCAAGCGUUGUUCGGAUUCAUUGGGCGUAAAGGGUGCGUAGGUGGCGCUGUAAGUCGGGUGUGAAAUUUCGGAGCUUAACUCCGAAACUGCAUUCGAUACUGGCGUGCUUGAGGACUGGAGAGGAGACUGGAAUUCAUGGUGUAGCAGUGAAAUGCGUAGAGAUCAUGAGGAAGACCAGUGGCGAAGGCGGGUCUCUGGACAGUUCCUGACACUGAGACACGAAGCCAGGGGAGCAAACGGG
rnacentral:rRNA from 1 species